ACCCCACGACCUCUCUCCUCGCUCGUGCCCCUCCCUCUCCCACGCGGAUGACGACGGCGACCGCGGCGUGUUCGCUUCCCAUGCUCGUCGCAGUCCUCCACCGCGCAAUGACAAUUGGGCUUGCAUCGCCUCACCCUCCUCGACCUCCCGUUCCCGUGGACCAUCCAUCCGGAAACCGCCGGCGGCGGAUGCGACCUCAAGAGGCGGCGUCCUUCCCAGAUCUCUGGGCCAAGUGGCGUUGCCCCUCACACUUCGACGGGAGGCGCCCAUCGCGCAGUCUGACUUCGAGCAGCCGCACCCACCGGGACGCACCUGCUUGUCGGGCUACGACGCCACCCAUCCCUAAACCGCUGGCGGCGGCGGCCGGCAACAAGCCGGCGGUGCCUCCGCCAAGGUUGUGGCGAUGGAACACACACUAAGGUUCCGGGUGCUGUUGGGAGGGGCGAGCGUGCGGCAUGGGCCACUGGACUUUGGGACACAUCUCCGCACGCAUAAGCUGGGAUCUUGCGGCAGCGGCGGCGGUGGCGAAUGACGCCCCAUCUUCCCUUAGCCGGUAACGGUGGAUCAACGCGGCGACAGCGCGCACUGCCCCCUCCUCCACAUCUCAAUGUCGUAGUCGUGGCCUUCCUCGUCCAUCGGAGGUGCUCAACCAUCUAAACACUAACCCUCCCUCAUCUUAUUUCAGAUCGUAACUUUGUUUUCAUUCAAUCAUACUCUGUUUUUCUACAAGGGACUCUUGGUGGGCAACUUCUUCACCAUGGUUCUCCAGCAACUGCACAAGUAGGUUGGGUCUCGGAUUAGUGCCCCGCGGAAUUCAGAUUGUAGGUGAUGUAUGGCGCUGGGCAGGAGAGGACAUGUCUAUGGGAAAUAACUAAAUUUCUCUGUGCCAUGCUACUACAUGAACUACCGAAUCCAUAACCAAGUCUACACACAAGAGUUCAGGGUUGAAUAGAGUUGUUCCGUCCACAUGGUUCGAAAUUAAGGUUUUGUGUAUACAAAGUUUCUGUAUUGUUGGCUUGCCAUAUUCUUCGGUGGUUACCUGCCCAAGCAACAAGCACGAAUUGUGGAAGAAGAGAAUAAAAUUACUAGAGAUUAUAUGUGUUCGAAAUCAAAUGCUAGCCCUGUAAAUAUUAGUCUAACAAAUCAUAUUCUGAUGCACCAAGGUUAUUGGUUUAUCACUUACUUCAAAUUGAUGUUUUAGUGAUGUAUAAAAGUCAAUAUGACUUUGUUAAUCAAGUUGAUCAAAUUUCUUCUUUCUAUUGCACCUUCUUUCUCUGAACCAUUUUGAUCCUUUUGUUCGUAAAGAACAUAACUAACAUAGUUUAACUAUCAGGUCUUCAGUAUAAACCAGCAAGGAAGAAAUGUUCUUCAAGUCUCAAGCAUUGUUGGGUUCUGACGGUGAGAAUAUCUUUUACAGUGAGCUUUUGGCUAUCUUGGGUGGUGGGAAUGACGCUGGAGGGUUCUCAGUUUAAUGUCAAGUAUUAUGACAGCAAGAUGGUAUAGCUGCAAGUACUGCUUGCUUGGACAACGAUGUAGUUUAUGAUGGACUUUGGAUAGCAACUUUCGUUCCAAGAUUCUGGAGAUCUCUUUCCUCUUGAUUGAUGUUUGGUGGGGAUGUCGUCCAAAUUCCAAGACUCCUGUUGAAAAGAGGUUGAGUAACAUGAUGACAUUUCUGCCACCGGAUGCACUAUUUUAGAACCUAGUGUGGGUUUGGUCAUCCGCCACCCAUUCUUUUAAAUAUUGGCUUCCCAAAACCCCAUGUAACUAUAUAAUUUGGUAUAAAACAUCAAUGCAUAUUGUUAUUUUUCUUCCGAUAAACAGUUGUUUCCUUACAGCAAUUAGGUAAUAUGUGAUAGUACUAAGUAAUGUGCUACCGUGAGCAACUA